rnacentral:rRNA from 1 species
CCUACGGGUGGCAGCAGUGAGGAAUAUUGGUCAAUGGACGAGAGUCUGAACCAGCCAAGUAGCGUGAAGGAUGACUGCCCUAUGGGUUGUAAACUUCUUUUAUAUGGGAAUAAAAUGUUCCACGUGUGGGUUUUUGUAUGUACCAUAUGAAUAAGGAUCGGCUAACUCCGUGCCAGCAGCCGCGGUAAUACGGAGGAUCCGAGCGUUAUCCGGAUUUAUUGGGUUUAAAGGGAGCGUAGGUGGAUUGUUAAGUCAGUUGUGAAAGUUUGCGGCUCAACCGUAAAAUUGCAGUUGAAACUGGCAGUCUUGAGUACAGUAGAGGUGUGCGGAAUGCGUGGUGUAGCGGUGAAAUGCUUAGAUAUCGCGAAGAACUCCGAUUGCGAAGGCAGCUCACUGGACUGCAACUGACACUGAGGCUCGAAAGUGUGGGUAUCAAACAGGAUUAGAUACCCGAGUAGUC